AUUCAAAUAAUUUUAGAAUUUGAUGUUGAAAAGAAUUUGAAUUACGAAAACACGAUUGAAAUUAGAAAACAAUCUUAAGCGGUGUUGAAUUCAAAUACCAAACGUAAUUCUAAUCCUAGCCCAAGUUAGCAAAGCCCAAAAUAAGUAAACCCACAUCCCUUACCCAUAUUCCAAAUUCAUGUAAAACUCUCAAUCCUCUCCUCUCCUUCACGUGAAAAGAAAAAGCAGAAAAACCCUCAAACCCUCUUCAAGAAUUCACGUGAACUCUCACACCUUAGUGCUCCCCUUGUCGCCGCCGUCCAGCCACCCACGCCGGACCACCGUCGUCCCUCGCCAGCCGCCGCCACGCACAACCACCGAGCACCGCCUUCUACACUCGUCGUUCCCCUCCACGCUGCGCCGCCCACCUGCAGCGCCUGUCCAAGCCGGCAACUCCCCCUCCUCCUCCUUGGAUUCGGUUUCCACUCUCUCCCCCCUAAUCGCAGUGCUUUUGGUUCGACCAUCAACCACCAGCAACCACCCGUGCCGACACCUGACCCGACCAGCGCCACCUCUGCUAGCCGCCGCUGUCCCCGCCGUGCCCUAGUCACCGCCGGCCAGCACUCCUCCUCCCCUUUUGGCGGAGAAUUCUUUGUGGGUGACUUUUGAAUUCGUUAAAGUGGCCUACCAGUUUGUUUACACAAGUCUCUAAGGAUCAAUAAGCAUUGUCCAUCUGCAGGUUUGAAGAUGUUGCAUCAUUGGGAUCGGGAAUAGAGAGCUUGUAUUUAGUUUUGAUUUGCUAUGAUAACUUGGGUUUGUUUAAUUGGACUUUAAACUUGUUAGUUGAUUGGUUUUGGGAUUAACUAUGUAAUCGAUUAUUUAUAAACCUAAAGUUAGUUUUAUGUUUUC